UGAUGUGUAUGUGCCCCUCUCCUUGAAUGCAUCUUGUAAAUCUCUUGGAACUUAAUGCUGUGUCAUGUUCUGACUUAGAUGCUUCAUAUUCUUGCAGAUGGAGUUUUUGGAGCAAUGAUGAAGGUAAGCUUAUGUCCGUUCAAUUUCUUCGUGAUGAUGCAUGUGUUGGGUGUUAAUGUCUAAUGGCUACAUACGUUUAACUGACCCCUCUUGUAACGGUGAGAAGGUCAGUUUGGUUAAUGUUGGACCAGUAACAAUGCAGCUUGAUUUACAAUCUACGAAGAAUUCAGUUGAUGCCACAGAAUCUUGAUGAAGUGGUUGGCCUGCUUUCAUGAAAAAAGAUUUCUUGAUUUUGGGCUUUGCCUUCUGGCAUUAGCAUGGAGUCAUAUUCCAAUGAGCUGUAUUGUGCAAACCCAGAAUUCCGAAGUCUCUGUCAUGAAAUCUGCUUAUAGCUGUACCCUUCUGUUACACCUGAACAACAGGACAAGACAGCGGUUGAAGUUAUAAUGAGAACUUCAUCCAACUUUAGAUAAAUCAUCAUUGAUAAAGUUAUUACUUUUCAUCCCUUCUAUAUGGUAAUAUAACAUUAUAAAUCCUGGGUUUAGGCUGAUCAGUGCCUUUUCAUUUGUUAUCUUUGGAUUUUGGAUGUUCCAACUUUCAAGCUGCUCAAAAUGCUAAGUAACUUUAGUUUCUCUGUUGACAUCGUCAGAAA